CAGACAGUCCCUAUUUGUGGUGGUCCUGCAUGUGCCGUGAUGAGUGCACCUUGAAAGCUCUUGUUCUUUGUAUUCACAUUAAGCUCGUUUUUAAAUGAUUUUUCCUUUGAGCUAAUUAGCAAGCCAAGAGCGAAGUACCGUGUUUUGCCAAAAUCCAAGGAAAGUUAUGUGAAUCUAACCAAGUAGGAAGGGGAGACGUCGGUGGGAAGUCGGGAAUUUCUCGGGGUCUGAAACAAAAUGAAAGAUUAUGUGUAUAGCUGGAGAGGCCAUAAAUACAACUGGGACAAGACUGGCAAUGUGAGGCCGAAGAACUACAAGAAUGGACCAAUCAAUCAAUCAAUCAAUCAAUCAAUCAAUCAAUCGUGGCUCGCGUUGCACGUAUUCCCUCUUUACAAAGCCAGUAGCCGGCAGAGUGCACGGGACCCUCCUUGUCGCUCAGUGAGUCCCGCAGUGGCCACACCGGCCCGCCUCUUGUCGCACGCCGGGCGUGGCCGCUCAUUGCCGAGAAGUGAAAACCGAAGCGCUUAGAGCGCCACACGCAGGCUGGGGAACAUUCGUCAUUUUUACUGCAGAAUGGCGCGGACCCCCACCGCGGUGCUCUUUUGGACCCUCUUAGCAGACCUCACAGGCACCUCGGCGGCUCUCCUUUCUCUCACCAAGCCUCCAGGCAGCUUCAGUGUCUUUCCGUGCGCCUUGGACUCGCAGAGCGUCGCUAAGAACAUCAUCCACUGGUACCGGCAGAGACCGGGCCAGCCCUUGGAGUGGCUCCUGUACAUCAAGUCCAAUACCGACAGGAAAUUCGCUCCGGGGGCCGACGGCAAGUUUACGGCUAUGAAGGACAAGGACUCGUGCCUGUUGUCGGUGCUGAACUUGGACAGGAACGACGCGGCGCUCUACGCGUGCGCUUACUGGAGCUACAGCAGCACGACGCUUCGGGGAGCGCGACGGCCGCGACAUAAAGUGUUAAAUGUAGGGCGACAGCAGGGAACACAUUGGCUGCUGCGGUGACUUCGUCGUUGUCACCCCCUUUCAGUCUCGGGCGUUAUCAGUCGGGUAGGCGGACCCCCUGAAUGAAGUUUAAAUGUCAGGCAACAAACAUGAAGUGAAAGGUGACGACUAGAGAGACCACCAGAGAGCUGCGCGGAGGAUUGAAGGGUUCAGAAACAGACAGAUGUGUGCAGAGUAACAACUAGGAAGAGAAACGAGCUGUUAAUGUGACUAAGAAAUGAAAACGUCUACAGGUCAGCCCUUCACGCCCCACUCUGAAGCCCCCCGAAUG